rnacentral:rRNA from 1 species
GAUGAACGCUGGCGGCGUGCCUAAUACAUGCAAGUCGAGCGAACAGACGAGGAGCUUGCUCCUCUGACGUUAGCGGCGGACGGGUGAGUAACACGUGGAUAACCUACCUAUAAGACUGGGAUAACUUCGGGAAACCGGAGCUAAUACCGGAUAAUAUAUUGAACCGCAUGGUUCAAUAGUGAAAGACGGUUUUGCUGUCACUUAUAGGUGGAUCCGCGCCGCAUUAGCUAGUUGGUAAGGUAACGGCUUACCAAGGCGACGAUGCGUAGCCGACCUGAGAGGGUGAUCGGCCACACUGGAACUGAGACACGGUCCAGACUCCUACGGGAGGCAGCAGUAGGGAAUCUUCCGCAAUGGGCGAAAGCCUGACGGAGCAACGCCGCGUGAGUGAUGAAGGUCUUCGGAUCGUAAAACUCUGUUAUUAGGGAAGAACAAAUGUGUAAGUAACUAUGCACGCCUUGACGGUACCUAAUCAGAAAGCCACGGCUAACUACGUG